GAUGAACGCUGGCGGCGUGCCUAAUACAUGCAAGUCGAGCGAACAGACGAGGUGCUUGCUCCUCUGACGUUAGCGGCGGACGGGUGAGUAACACGUGGAUAACCUACCUAUAAGACUGGGAUAACUUCGGGAAACCGGAGCUAAUACCGGAUAAUAUAUUGAACCGCAUGGUUCAAUAGUGAAAGACGGUUUUGCUGUCACUUAUAGAUGGAUCCGCGCCGCAUUAGCUAGUUGGUAAGGUAACGGCUUACCAAGGCAACGAUGCGUAGCCGACCUGAGAGGGUGAUCGGCCACACUGGAACUCAGACACGGUCCAGACUCCUACGGGAGGCAGCAGUAGGGAAUCUUCCGCAAUGGGCGAAAGCCUGACGGAGCAACGCCGCGUGAGUGAUGAAGGUCUUCGGAUCGUAAAACUCUGUUAUUAGGGAAGAACAAAUGUGUAAGUAACUAUGCACGUCUUGACGGUACCUAAUCAGAAAGCCACGGCUAACUACGUG
rnacentral:rRNA from 1 species